GCCUCGGUAGCUCAAUAGGAAGAGCGUCCGGCUGUUAACCGGAAGGUCGCAGGUUCGAGCCCUGCCCGAGGCG
rnacentral:tRNA from 1 species